GGAAAAUAAAGCAUAGUCGAAAUAAUAACGUGGCAAAGACUGAGGAAGCAGUAAUAUAUGGACGCAGCAUGAAAUCAGUGAGAAGAAAACUUGGCAUAGGG
rnacentral:lncRNA from 1 species